rfam:Lucilia cuprina strain LS Scaffold215, whole genome shotgun sequence.
AUUACGGAUCUUUUAAGAUCCAUUUUGAAAAAUUCUAAAAUAUUUU